AUGUGGCGAGGAAUUGGUCUAUCAAGAGUCACUGCGGUCUUCCUCCUCGUUGUCAUUCUCAACUGCCAAAUCACAGAAGACAGAGUGGGAAUUUGCACUCCCAUUCCUUCUGAGUUACCCGAGAGUACUGCUCAGCCCAUUGUAAGAUGCUCAGUCAUUGACAUGAGCGAAUCUUCUAAGCCAAAAACAAUGGUGUGUGAUGCCAGAACAAGCAUGUUUGCCAUAGCCGAUACCAUCAUGAAGAAGGUAUAUCCAGAGGCAGAAGGGCAGGUUACAUCUCACCCUGAUCUAACAGAUCCAAUAGCUAGACUGGAGGAGCUCAUAUCUCAGGGUAGGAUUGGUGCUCUCUCCCGUGAUCUCAGUCACCAAGUCAACCGCAUAAUUUCCGAUAGCAACUUGACCCCUCUGGGACUGACAGUGGCGGCUGGAAAGAGUGCAUCUGAUACCAUCCUUUCGAAGCUGAAGAGGAAUGACAAGGUGGGGAAGCCCACAACUUACAAGCUGGUUCAGCUGUUUGUAGAGGAGUCUGUUAAGUGCCUCCUGCUUCCUAGUUUUGUGCCCUAUUCAACUUCAAUGAGUUUGGCUCAGGGGGCCAAGGUGUUGGCUAGAGUGUCUGAAGAUAGAAUUUCAUGCUCUUCUUCUUCUUCAUCAGUAUUUAGUGACACAGUCAGUCUCUUUACCAAAGUUAUGGUAAGCCAGGUCAUGUACUCUGUGGAUUCUGAUGCAGAAAGUAGAGGAUCCUCUCCAACUGAAUCUCUCCAAACAUCUGAACCCACUAUAUCUGAUGUAGGCAAUCUAUUGAGUGGCAAGUCCUCCCCUCGGCUGUCUCCUUCUGGCACCAUUAUGGCAACAAGCGAGACCUCCAAUGCAGCACAAAUCUUGAAGGCCAACAUUGAUGGAGAGGAAGUGGAUACCACCAGUCAUUCUGGUGUAGCUCAAAACAUUGUCAGGGACGAUAUGUCAACCAGCCCAGACAUGGUCAAAGAUGUCACACUUCCAACCCCAUCCUCUGCGUGUUAG
ensembl:lncRNA